UACGGAGGAUCCGAGCGUUAUCCGGAUUUAUUGGGUUUAAAGGGUGCGUAGGCGGGAUAAUAAGUCAGUGGUGAAAGUUUGCAGCUUAACUGUAAAAUUGCCGUUGAAACUGUUAUUCUUGAGAGUAGAUAAGGUAGGCGGAAUGUGUUGUGUAGCGGUGAAAUGCAUAGAUAUAACACAGAACCCCGAUUGCGAAGGCAGCUUACCGGGCUACAUCUGACGCUGAUGCACGAAAGCGUGGGGAUCAAACAGGAUUAGAUACCCUGGUAGUCCACGCAGUAAACGAUGAAUACUAGCUGUAUGCGAUAUACUGUAUGUGGCAAAGCGAAAGCAUUAAGUAUUCCACCUGGGGAGUACGUUCGCAAGAAUGAA
rnacentral:rRNA from 1 species